rnacentral:rRNA from 1 species
GAUGAACGCUAGCGGCAGGCUUAAUACAUGCAAGUCGAGGGGCAGCGCAGUGUAGCAAUACAUGGGCGGCGACCGGCAAACGGGUGCGUAACACGUACGCAACCUUCCCGUUACUGUGGCAUAGCCCAGGGAAACUUGGAUUAAUACCACAUAUUAUAUAGAGAGGGCAUCCUUUUUAUAUCAAAGCUUCGGCGGUAACGGAUGGGCGUGCGGUUGAUUAGGUAGUUGGCGGGGUAACGGCCCACCAAGCCUACGAUCAAUAGCUGAUGUGAGAGCAUGAUCAGCCACACGGGCACUGAGACACGGGCCCGACUCCUACGGGAGGCAGCAGUAAGGAAUAUUGGGCAAUGGACGAAAGUCUGACCCAGCCAUGCCGCGUGAAGGAUUAAGGCCCUCUGGAUUGUAAACUUCUUUUCUCUGGGGCGAAAACCAGCUAUUCUUAGCUAUUUGACAGUACCAGAGGAAUAAGCACCGGCUAACUCCGUGCCAGCCGCCGCGGUAACAC